UUAUUAGGCCGCCCCGACUAGGCCUCUCCCUCUUCGGCAGGACCGGCCGCCAUGGCGGGGUCUGGCAGGGUCGGGGCAGGGUGCCCAAGGGCAGGCCUGCCCACCCCUUUCGACUGUAGGAUGGAGGAGAAGCUGCUGAAAAAGGACCUGAGCGGGAGGAAUUCCCUUCCAACUAGGAUUAUCAGUUGUGACGUCCUAUGAUUUUCAUCUCGGAAAGUUUAGAGCUGUCUUGAAGAGCAGCUUAGAUGAGGGAACUGAGGCACCGAGAAGUUAAGUGACUCGCCCAAAGUCACACAGCUGACAAGUGGCCGAGCCGGGCCACUUGGAGGUGAACGUCUCGGAAAGGACUCCCUUCCUUGGGACGGGCCACCGAAAGGGGUCUAGGUGGGGUGAAGUGUGAAGAGGAGGGAAGAAGAUGUGGGGGGUCUGUGUAUCAUUCAUUCACUAGUAUUUAUUGAGCGCUUACUGUGUGCAGAGCACUGUACUAAGCGAGAAGCUUCUGGGGAAAAUGCGUAUCCUUGCAGUGAAAGCUCUUCAAAAAGGAUCUUCUGUUCUCCUAGGGCAGCUAUGGAGAUUCUGUUGCUAAUCUUGUUUCACUGAAAGAUAAUACUGUGUACUUUGUAUUUUAAAUGUAUUGCCUGUUUAUAGCUGAAUGUAAUAAAGUAUAGAUUGCUGCCUCUAA